UUUUUGUGAUAUAGCUUCUGUUUUGGCCUCGAUAUAUUCUCCCUUUGUGCUGAAGUAUCCCUUUUAUGCUUGAGCGGAAUGCAUUUCUUUUGCACUUCUUUUACCUUCACUCUGCACACUGUACACGUGUACAGCUUGUGUACACGCUUUGCUUGCACACGACGCAGAAAACCUUUGCCGUUUCUGUUGAAUUAAGACACGCCGACGUUUUCUUUGUAGGAUGUUGUUUCUUGGUUUGAAUGCGUUGAGACAUAAUGACCGGAGGAGCAUGUGUACAGUUACUGUAAUGAGCAGUGUGUUUACAUAGCUCCGAACGAUAAAACGUGUACAAAUAAUAAGACAUUUUAGUGGUUGUGAAACUUCCUGUUAAAGUACAAGACUUGUAAAAAGCAACAUGCAAGUAAAUUUACUGCAAAUCAGAGUAUUUUUUUACCACAAGACAUUGGAACUCCAGUGACUCGAUCGAACAAACCACCUCCUGCCCACAUUAAAAGUGAUAGUACGUUUGAAACCGGAAAUUCUCAGAGAUAAAAAUAAUUGAGCUCUUUUAAUCAAACCUUUUGGUUUCUGUCUCGCAUGAUUGCAACAAAGGUGCGAGAUCUCUUCAGCAGAGGCAACGCAAACUAACCUUCGGCUGUAUUGUAAAAUGAGCACCUUUACAAACAUGUCCUUUUAUAUGUUCUAACGUACAAGUACAAGAACAGGCUCAAAGAUUAUUUUUAAUGUGUUCUCGGGCGCCACGGUUUGCUGGGACUGGUCACAAACCAGUAUGAACCAGAUCCCCCUGUUCCAACCAUUGUUCCGUACACGCCGGCGUUGUAAGAUCGGAGGUUCUCGGUCUUAGAUCCCGCCUUUUCCUUUGGGUUCUAAACGCAAAAAAGCACUAAAGCUACAAAAACAUCUGCACAGCGAGGGAAAAAUAACGGGGAUUUUUUUCUCCCUUUCCUUCAGAGAUUACUCUCCUUUACGAACCAAACUCGUUGCGAACCGAUUGUUUAAAACGUGCCACAUGCUACUUGUUGUGGAGCCGCGUCAGUCUUUGUCUGUCGUGAUCACGACAGUUGCACACAAAGGGUGGAGGAAGAAGAGAAGCGGAGAGGGCGCAGCGAUGAUGGCCAGCAAGAGAGAAAAUAAAUGUAUUACCCCCCCCACCGCCGCCCUCCGCCCCCCACUACCCCCACACUGGCUGUCCUGAAAUGAACUUGCUCGAUGACACGUUGUUUGGAAAGCCACAUCCUCCGCUAGUUGCGUUUUUAUCUUCCGGUUGCAGAGUGACUCUGUGGUUAACAGGAUCAAAGUCUCUAUCUUUUGAGGGGUGUUGUUGCUUUCAUCAGGUCGUGCUGCAUGAACGCAUCUAGCUGAUGGCAAACACGUCUUGGGCUAUGAACAGCAUUUGAUCUGGCUCUUCAGGCCACCGCUGGUUCGCAUUAACUGUUUUAGCAAAAAGCCACCAGACAUCCAUCUUGAGAUUUAUGUGUGGAAGGUCCAGAUGUUCCACCAGUGACCUUGCAUUAGUUUCACUGUGUGGAAUAUUGGAUUGGUUUCCUGCAACAAGAUCCGCGUAUGACAAAUAGAUUUCGAUUGUCCAUACAUUCAUUCACUCGUUGUAUUGACAUCAAGCUGCCAACUUUGAAUACAACAAACAAUACAAAUAGUCAUUUUUCACCGUGGUCUCUUGUUAAAGUCGGUGUCUAGUUAAGAUUCAUAUUUCACAUGGUUCUGACACACACCUACAGAAGACAACACAUGCAGUGAGCAUUUUCAAAGGUUUCUGAUUACACGGGCAGCCCAAAGAAUUUUAGAUGCAGAAUUUGUAUUUAAGCAUUUAUGGUUUUGUCAGCCUGCAUCACAAUUAAAUCAAUUUGAAACCUUUGGUUUGCACUAUGCCCUUUAUUCAACAUGCAUUGGGUAGAAGCGGUAGCAGUAUAUAUGUUAUCUUAGAAGUGGCAUUGUAACUUGAAUCUUGCAGUGGCUCCCAGCCCGGGGUCCGGACCCCCGAAAGGGGCGUAAGAUUGAAACCCCAGUGAAACAGAAGUCGGAGCGCGUUUAGCUUCUGUAAAGUUAAAAAGGAUGUUUGAGCGCUGCACAAAAGACGUAUAGAUCAAAUCUUUUGCGUUUUGUUGGGGCGCUAAAAAGUCAAUGAGCUUAAGUGUAGGUUCAUUGUGGAGGAACGGCACGAUGUGAUCGGUUAAAAACUGUUGGCACUAAUUUGCAAUAGCACACAUCUAGCUUUUCUUCACAGGAGGAAAAGAUUGGACAAAUAAAUACCAUCAGUUUUAGUCCUUUUUUCCCCCCAUUUCUAACAAACGGAAAACAUCCAUUAUACUAUUAUGAGAAGGUGGAGAAGGAGGUUUUAUUCAUAACUGUACAAAACCUUACAAUUACCCUAAUAGAUAAAGACUAACAUCUGCCAUUAGAUCGUCAUUGUCAACUGAAAUAAAAUCACUAAGGAUUAUUUAGUAUAGCUCAUUUGUAAAUGAUGUUCCAAAUAAGAUUGUUGGCCUGCUGACUUGACCUUAUUAAAUCUCAAUCUGCAACGCAGAUGAUGAGAUUCAACUGACACCACGGGCUCGUACAUAACAGAACCAGUUGCCCAACAUACGGACAAAGUGUGCUUUGCGCGGAGCAUCUGGCAGUGAGCUCUGCCACCGGUACCACAUUGUGUGGUAGCAGAGCCCCUUCCUGACACGGCCUCUUCCCAUUGCUCGGAUGCCAACGCUCUCCUCCCCCCUCAGCGGUGGCUUUCGCGACGUUGCAUCCACAGCAUCAGCCCCUUUUUUUUUUUUGUCUCAUUGAGAUUCAGCUUGGCACACGGACAAUGCCCAUUUCUUGGCACCAAAUAUUGGAGAGAGCCACUCAAGGGAACCAACCUCAGUCUUUUUUACCUCGCAGACGUCCCCCUAAUCCGCCGAUCACCGUGGACCGGCGCCAACAAGCAAUGGGUGUAUUUCUUGGCGCAUUCAUCUGCUGAAUUUGCAGUUCCUUUGCCACCUGGGCAUUUAACAUGGAUAUCUUUGAUACCGUUGCCAUUCAGACGAGCUGCUCCGAAGCGGCAGAAGAACCAUCGCCAGUCAACUUGUCCCUGACACGGGACAGAGUGAGUCUUACAUGAACGUCACGCAUUGAUAACAUUAGUCCUUCGUUGUACUCUGCAGCAGAGCAGCCAUUUUCUCAUCAUCCGCAGCUGGCGGGUGAACCGUGAAAGUCAAAACACCACAUCCGAGUGUAUAAAAAAACGUUCAAUCCGCCCCCCCCCGAAUGGAUCGUAAUGGAGAUACGAAUUUGGGUUUACAUCUUGUACAGCUUUUGUUUAAAGGCACAAUCACAGACAGCAUAUUUUAGGAAAAUGAAGUUUGACCGACAAGUUCCCACUGCUUCCUGCAGAGGCAUCUGCCCUUAAGGCUGAGGUAGUAGAUUGAAUAGUUGUGGGGUCCCUGUCCUCCCUCUGAGAUAACUAUACAGUCUACUGUCUUUCCUUAGGAGACGGCUUGAUCUGCUGUGAGAAUGUACUCUGGAGUCUGCGCGAAUAAAGGAGCUCACUGACACACGGAGUUAAGAGAUAACAAGUCACGCCGUUUUUGAAUAGUUUUUAGUUUACAGUAACCGUCUGUUUGUUGGUUAUCGGAUCUCUGAUGUUAAUUCUUACGGUUUAGGUUGCUGUAGUUAUUUUCUCUGCGUGCCUAGAAAUUCUUAUUUCUUUAAAACAACGAUCCCUCGAGUUACACAACCGCAACUUUGUGUACUGACAAGACACUAUGAUGAAACUGGUCCAUAGUAACCACAUGUAACAAGUUGGCACAUAUUGAGCAGUACCUUCAUGUGUGCCUGAAGUUGAGCCUAGCGAGGUGAGGUAGUAGGUUGUAUAGUUUGUGGGAUUGAGUAAAUCCUACUCAGGUGAUAACUACACAGCCUAUUACCUUCCUUGAGAGGUACAAUGAGUGCUUGGAUUGAAGCUCACUCGUGCAGAGCGAGCGGCGUCGGAGCCCCUCUGAGGCCAUCGUGUGGACAAAGACUACCAUCACUUCGGAAAUUGAAAGAAAUAAAUGCAAACACUGGAAGCUUUGGGAACUCGAUUGUGUGUAUCUGCGAACAUAUUCACAAGGAAAUCAAUAUUUGUAUGUUUUAAUGUAUAUGUUGAUGAUGGCAAAUGAUGAGGAUGUAAUCAGACGCAGCAAUCAGUAGUUUAUCCUGUAAAAUCACUAAGAAUCCUAUUGAUAUCACCACAAUUUUUUGGUCAGUAUUUAACUUUGUUGCACGUAUGUGAUGCAGUAUAUCAAAUAUCUAAUAAAUGUAUAUAUUUGAAAGAAA